GAACUAUUGGUUCAGUUGGUUAGAGCCAACCGCUCAUAGCGGUUAGGUACAGUUCGAGUCCUGUAUGGUCCA
rnacentral:tRNA from 1 species